rnacentral:rRNA from 1 species
CGCGGAAGGGCGGUAUUUAUUAGAUAACAAGCCAAUAUUCCUUGUGUCUAUUGUGGUGACUCAUAAUAACUGAUCGAAUCGCAAGGCUUCGUCCGCGAUAAAUCAUUCAAGUUUCUGCCCCAUCAGCUGUAGAUGGUAGUGUAUUGGACUACCAUGGCUUUCACGGGUAACGGAGGAUUAGGGUUCGAUUCCGGAGAGGGAGCCUGAAAAACGGCUACCACAUCCAAGGAAGGCAGCAGGCGCGUAAAUUACCCAAUACUAAUUCAGUGAGGUAGUG